ensembl:misc_RNA
CGUAUUUAUACAUCCGGGGAAAGUUCUAUUGUAAAUUUCGGAGAUCUUCGGUAUUUAAAUGUCAACAUCGAUUUGUUUAUUUAUUGCCUGGCUUAUUGUAACUGACUCAAUAACAAAUCUAAUCAUGUUGUGCACUGAAAAAAAUAUUCUCAUUAUGUAUUUUCGCUAAAUUAUAGUUAACUAUUACAGUUGGAUUCAAGCUGUAAAUAUCAAUAUUAUCAAGUAAUUACU